AUGGAUGCCGCCGCCCGCAAGAGAUCCCGGCCGGAGUCCGCCAACGGAGGCGCCGCAGGCGGGAAGCGCUCGAGAGAAUCGGAGUCACAACAAACUGGUCUAUCAAGCAAAUCGAAGCCUUGCACCAAGUUUUUCAGCACUGUUGGGUGCCCCUUUGGUGAGGGAUGUCACUUUGCGCACUUUGUCCCUGGUGGAUACCAGGCAGUAUCAAAAUCACACAGCCUAGGCCAUGCUGCUGUGUCUGCACCGUCAAGAGCUCCUGCGGAUCAUGCUGCUUCUGGUGUCAAAACACGCAUGUGCACCAAGUACAACACUGCAGAAGGCUGCAAGUUUGGUGACAAGUGCCAUUUCGCCCAUGGCGAGAGGGAGCUUGGCAGGGCACCAUCCUCCUACAUGUCCCAGGAAAGUUCCUAUGCUCCUCCUAUGGGUGGUCGAUAUGGAGGUCGGCACGAACCACCUCCGCCAGCUUCGAUGGGCCCUCCAGCUGGAAACUUUGGCGCCUCGUCCACCUGCAAGGUCAGUGUUGAUGCUGCUCUCGCCGGAGGCAUCAUCGGGAAGGGUGGGGUCAACACGAAGCAGAUCUGCCGCAUCACGGGGGUCAAGCUCUCGAUACGCGACCACGAAUCAAACCCAGACCUGAAGAACAUUGAGCUGGAAGGCAGUUUUGACCAGAUAAAGCAAGCCAACGACAUGGUGCGUGAUCUCAUUGCCAGCAUCAGCGCCAGCACGCCGUCGAAGAACCCUGCAGGCGCAGCGGCUCCCGCAGUCCGAGGCGGCGGCGGCGGUGGGCCUGGAGGCAGGAGCAACUACAAGACCAAGAUAUGCGAGAACUUCCUCAAGGGCACCUGCACGUUCGGCGAGCGCUGCCACUUCGCCCACGGCGAGACCGAGCAGCGGAAGGGUGCUGCCGUCUGA
rnacentral:rRNA from 1 species